rnacentral:tRNA from 2 species
CGCGGGAUGGAGCAGUUCGGUAGCUCGUCGGGCUCAUAACCCGAAGAUCGGUGGUUCAAAUCCGCCUCCCGCAA